CCGAAUUGUCAACACGAGUUGUUGCUGGUCCUCAGACGAGGGCAUGUGCACGCUCUGUUUACACAUCCACUCACACCUGUGCACCCUCUGUAGUUCUAUGGUCUGAGGGGCUCUGUCCUCUCGCCGUGGCUCUAUGUCUUUACACACGCACUGUAAUAAAGUUUCAUGGAAUGCAUGACGCGUUUAACGCAAUACAAUA
rnacentral:misc_RNA from 1 species